AGAAAAUCAAAAUGAACUAAAAAAAAAAAAAAAUUACUUACUUAAAGUUUUAGAUAAAAAAAAUAAAAAAUUAAUUAACAAUAAAAAACAUUUAAAUGAAAUUGUACAAUUAAAAAAAAAAGAAUCCCAAAGGGUACUAAAUAGAUACAACUCUUUACAUGAAACCAAAUGUAGCAAUACUGGUAUUAUUACUUCAUUAAAUAACUGGACAAACAAAAAAGAUGAGGAACCAAAUUUAAAUAUAAUAACUAAUAAUAAUAUAACGCAUAAGUUAGAUCCAAAUGAAGGUUGUAUUUACGAUUACCAGUACACUCCUGUCUAUAAAGAACAGAUAGAUUUGUGUCUUUUAUCUAAUAGCGAUAAUAAUAGUAAAUCAAGUAGUGGCAGGAGACAAAGUAGCGCGAGUAGCCACGAACAAAAAAAAGACGAAGCAAAAUUUUUUGUACCAGAUGAUGAACUAACAACACCAAUGACAAAAAUAGAAAUAAAUCCUAUUUAUGAUGCCAUAACAAAAAAUAAAGAUGUUAUAAAAAAUACAUAUAGAGAUAUAGAUAAAAUAUUCAAAAUAGAGUUAAGUAAAUUAAAUCAAAAAAUAAAACUUAUUAUGAAAAUAAACUUUUUAAACAUUUCUUUAUAUACAAACAUUCAAACCUUAACCAAAAUCUUGCAAAAUGUAUAUCUUAAAAAAUAUAAUAUAGUACUUCAAAGUGGAAAAAAAGUAUUAAAUAUAGCAAAUUAUGAUUAUACAAAAUUCAAAAAAUCAUGUGAUACUGGUGAUCUCAUAAAAAACGUACAAAAAAAUAAUUUAUGUAAUGAGAAUACAGUUGAUUUAGAAAGUGUGGAUAAAAGCUUAGUUUCUCUAUAUAAAAGAAUAAAUGAAAAUCAAAUAAAACAGAAGGAAACAUAAGGAAAAGCAAGUGCUAAACAGGUAGUACAUGUGUUACGUUGUUACUGUUGUUGGUUCUUAUAUCGCUAUCACUAUUUUAUUAUACACAUAAAUAAAUAAAUAUAUAUAUAUAUAUAUAUAUAUAUA
rnacentral:lncRNA from 1 species